ACACAUCACUGACAGGCUUUCCUGUGUAACACUGAUUCAAGUUUUCCACCAUUGUAUUUAUCCAAAUGAGGUUCUCAGGGAUCCCCAGUUGAAGGCAUCAGGACAUCAGAUGUUGGCCUGGACAGAUGUACCAACAGUACACCACAAAGACCUCUGCUUUUAAAUGGAUGGCUGAUUACUACCAUGUUCUGUGCGGGUAUUAUUAUAGCAAAACUGAGCACCUGUGAUAGUGGGAUUUCUAAUUUUAAAGAAUAGUCAUACAUCAGUAAAUUAUUUAUUUUUUUAUUUUUUUAUUUAAAAAUUUGAAAGGAUUUUUAAAAGUUGCAACCUUUUUUUCUCCAGUUACAAAAACAGCUGUUACACCUUUUCAAAUUCUUCAUUGGGGGUGCACAAAUCCUAUUUCACAAAUUAAGAAAUUCAUAUGCUCACAUUUAAGCCGUGUUCUUCAGACACUGUAACAAUCCUGAUAUGAUGUCACACUUUGCAGUAUCUUUUUUAUUAACAUGAAUUCAAAUUUUAACAAAUAUAUUCAAAAUGUAAAGAUAUACAAUCUGACAAUCUGAUCUUGUCAUUAUUAAUCAAUCAGUAAUCAACACUGCACCACCCCGAAAUUACAUGCACUGUAGAAGUAUGGUUUUGGCAAGAAAUGAACAGUAGCUAAAUAUUUAUUAUAAAUGCUACUAUUUGACAUUCAGUAUUUUAGUCUAUAUUAAAGGGAUACAAGUCUCUUUUAUGUAUGAUUUUUUUUUUAUUACAAACUGUUUUUGUUUGUUUGUUUGUUUGUUUUUAGCUAGCACUUAAUAUUUCUUUAAUGUUACCACAUGAGAAUAGCCAAACAGUGUAGGUGAUUCACAAAAUCAUACACAAAGAAAUGUGCAUGAUUGGCCAAAGUUUUACUGAUCUACAAAAAAAUUGAGCCUAUGAGUUUCUUAAUUUGUGAUUUGUAGAAUAGGUUUAGUGCACCUGCAAUGAAAAAAAUUAAAGGCAGCAGCUAUUUGCACUAAGUGACAAUAGCACAUUUUCUUACACUAGGUGAAAAUAGUGAUAGAUUCUAUUUACACCAUGUAAAGUAUCAGUUAUUUGCAAUAAGAGUAAAUAGAUGCUAUCUAUAGGCCUACUUAAUAUUGACAGAUAUUAUUUGCACCUCAGUAUUUUUGUACAUUAACAGGAUGCAAUAAUAUAGAGUGUAAAUGAUUGUAUUUAUUAAAAUGAUUAAAUGGAUGCUGCCUUAUUGGUAGAAUAAAACCCUCCCUACACCUUCUCCUAACCCUACCCAAUAAACAUUUUUAAUAUUAUUAAACACUUGUUCAGUUUAGUUCCGCUUUUAGAACAUUAUUUUCAUUCUUAUUGAAAAUAAAUGUGAGCUUAGCAAAAGGCAGAUUUGAACCUGCAUCAAAAGCCAGAACUCCCUACUCGCUACUGCUGUGUCACUGAAGACGUUGCCUUCUGUGCUUCUUUUUUAAAACUUGAGUGGCCCAAAAGCUAGUGUAAAUAGCGUUUGCCAACAAGGGACGCUAUUUGCACUUUAUGUAAAUAGACACUCUGAAAUUUAAAAGGUGUAACUGUUGUGUUGUGUUUUUGAGAGAGAAAGGAACUAAGUUUUCAGCUCCUAAAACAUUGAUGACUUCACUGAAAUAUUGUCUACACCUUCCACUGUCAGUUGCUCAGUUUCACUACAAUAAUACCAGAUACAAUACAGCAUGUGCAUAAUUGAGUCGCUAUUCUAACAGCUGGGGGCUAUAGACUUAUAAUAAAUGAGCAAUAUUAUAAUAAAUAUGCACAUUGCUUUCUGUA